GACGUGGGCGACAGCCUGAUCCAGCCAUGCCGCGUGUGUGAUGACGGUCUCCGGAUCGUAAAGCACUUUAAGUUGGGAGGAAGGGCAGUAAAUUAAUACUUCGCCGUUUUGACGUUACCGACAGAGUAAGCACCGGCUAACUCCGUGCCAGCAGCCGCGGUAAU
rnacentral:rRNA from 1 species